rnacentral:tRNA from 1 species
AAAUGAUUCUUAUCUCUUUUUGGAGAGAUGGCCGAGAGGAUUAAAGCGUCGGAUUGCUAAUCCGUCGUACAAUUUAUAUGUACAG